UUAAUCGGGCUCUCUCCCAUAAGUACAGUUAAUAGGACGGGAAGAGACAGGCUCUGUUUAGCCCCGGUUAGCGCGAUGCUAAAGAGCAGCUCUACAGGAGCAUGCCACCUCAACAGGUGCAAGUUAGCCUCCGGUUUGAUAUUCGGUUUACCACCCAAUCGGAUUCAUCAACAUAAGUACAAUACAUUACGGGCUUAGUAUGUUGAGGACGGUUUAGGUUUAGGACACCGUAUCGCGAAAAUCACAAACACAUGUUGGCGCCAUCAAUGUCUGUGAAACAACGUCAUUUACGUUCUGGCUGCUACCUCUUUUAGGGACCGUCAACAAAUUACACUCACCGACUGGUGGCAGAGACGUUACCAUGGAAUUGUUUCAGGAAAUUAAUCACACAAAUAUAUUGCAAUAUAGUUCAUCAUAAUGCAGUUAAUAGUUUAAUAUUCGACAAAAAUCGACUAAACUAUAUUUGAAAUUAUUAAUUGCAUCCCGUUUAACAAUAAUGCAAUAUAUUAGCAAAGUUACCUGCAGUAAGUAGCAGCCCACCAUUGGCAACUACUACUACAAUCAGGUGACAAAAUGUAUUUUUUUGUGAUUUUUAUAUUAUUUUAUAUGAUUUAUUUCCAGAAACAAUUCCAUGGUAACGUCUCUGCCACCAGUCGGUGAGUGUAACUUGUUGACGGUCCCUAAAACAGGUAGCAGCCAGAACGUAAAUGACGUUGUUGCACAGACAUCGAUGGCGACAACAUGUGUUUGUGAUUUUCGCGAUGCACCGUCCUCAACAUACUAAGCCCUAUGGAAGGGGAGAUUUGGAGGUACCUGGUCAGGUCUUGGUCAGCCUUCAAAUCCCAGAUGUGGAGACAGCAGGGAUACCUCACAGAGAAGACACUAAAGAGUCAUCUCUCAUUCAUCGAGUGGACUCAUUGGUUUGCGAAUCACCACAAAGAUGCUCCCAUAGGCAGAUUGCUGCAUGGCAUUCACCGCUUGUUCAAAUUGAAGAGGUUGAAGCAGUCUUCCUUGUGGUCACUUGCCAUAACAAUGUCAUGUGUUUUAUGAAAACACCAUCAGUAACAUUUAAAUUGAGUUGAUGUGGACGGCUCUUUUUGUCCGAUUUCUUCAGUGUUCAGUGCCUGUUUGUGAGAUAUGCAUUGUUUGAAAGAUAAGCCUUUGAUUUUGUUUAAUUUUAAUAUGCCUUUCAUCAACAGUGGUUUGGGGAUUUAUAACAACAAUUAAAGUGCUUAACUACUGGUGAACGAUGUUGCAGAACAUAUAUGGUUUGUGUUGAUUGCAUGGAAACGGGAAUAACCAGUUACAACUUAUAUGGUAAGAGCCUGGUAAUACCAUGGAAACAAACUAGGCUUCCUUUUACAGUACAGUUUCAGCUUACUUACUGGGUAAAUUGUCGUGUUUUACUUGGUAACGUCGCGGAACGUACAUGGUACAAGUUUGUGUUGACUGCAUGGAAAAGGGAAUAAUGUAUUACAAAUUAUAUGGUAAGAACCUGGUAAUACCAUGGAAACAAACAAGGCUUCCUUUUACAGUACAGUUUCAGCUUAAUUACUGGGUAAAUUGUCGUGUUUUACUUGGUAACGUCGCAGAACGUACAUGGUACAAGUUUGUGUUGACUGCAUGGAAAAGGGAAUAAUGUAUUACAAAUUAUAUGGUAAGAACCUGGUAGUACCAUGGAAACAAACGAGGCUUCCUUUUACAGUACAGUUUCAUCUUAAUUACUGGGUAAAUUGACGUGUUUUACUUGGUAACGUCGCAGAACGUACAUGGUACAAGUUUGUGUUGACUGCAUGGAAAAGGGAAUAAUGUAUUACAAAUUAUAUGGUAAGAACCUGGUAAUACCAUGGAAACAAACGAGGCUUCCUUUUACAGUACAGUUUCAGCUUAAUUACUGGGUAAAUUGACGUGUUUUACUUGGUAACGUCGCAGAACGUACAUGGUACAAGUUUGUGUUGACUGCAUGGAAAAGGGAAUAAUGUAUUGCAAAUUAUAUGGUAAGAACCUGGUAAUACCAUGGAAACAAACAAGGCUUCCUUUUACAGUACAGUUUCAGCUUAAUUACUGGGUAAAUUGACGUGUUUUACUUGGUAACGUCGCAGAACGUACAUGGUACAAGUUUGUGU